rnacentral:lncRNA from 1 species
AACUGAUUCUAAGACUUGGUUGAAAACACACAGACAGACAGACAGACAGACAGACACACACACACACACGUGCACGAGAAUAUUUGUGAUAUUGAACAAAGCUCAUAUGUUACUAAGCAUAAAAGAUAAAACUAGAGAGCCAUGUAGAAGGGAAUGAGGGAGAUUGCCUUCAUGGUUUUGAGGUGAGGAAAAAGUUACUCAUAGUUAGCAGGUUAUUCCAAAGAGGCAGAUAUUUAAGUUCAAGAAGACCAAAUGAAUUUGCUUCAUAGGUAUGGGAAAGAAGUCCACUGAACUUGCUUGUCUAUACAGAACUACGGUAUUACCAUUUUGCUACAGAUUAACUUCCAUCUCUACAGCAUUAGAGAAUAAUGCAGAAGCAAAGGCAUAAAUCCCAUAGAGUCAGAUAACAUGGAAGAAUGUGUCCCAGCAGUAGUUUCCAUGGCACUUCAUUGUUUUUUCCAUUAAAAAAAAUAUUAUGACUUAUGCCUACACAGCUAAAGUUGAAAGGUAUAUGUUAGCUAAUGACAUUCAUUUCCUUAAACCCUAUGUUUUGUACCUAAGUGUAAGUGAGCAGAAAGUACCUAAGUUGGCCCAAAUCACACACACAGACAAAAGCCAUCAAAAUUAUAAUUGAAUUUAACUUUACUGCUGAUAAAUAAAAAAAGUUUAUUUUAAAGGUGUGUGACUUACCUUUUAAAAUUGUCUUCUGAUAGAUUGUGUUAGUUUUAGUAUUUCAUACCAAUAAUGUCAUCAACACACUUAGAACACUGAUACAGUAUGGCAUCAAGUCUACUGAUAAUUACUCAUCAAAUGGUCCCUUUAGUUUUCUUUAAUGUAUAUUUCAGAUUCUAAUUAUUUCAGGAAAAAAAAAACCAACAAUGAAAACACUCAACUUAAACAGUAUACACCAGAAAUUUGAGUUCUUUUUUUUUGGCACAGGUGAGCUUUCUCUCUUUAAGCUUUCCAGAACGGUACUGAUAAACUGUCUAGCACACUUACAGGAACUCGGGCUUUCUGAAGUUAUACUUACUUAAGGAUUGAAUGUGAUGACCAUCAACAGUACCCACAUAGAGUAGAAAGUAGUGUUCAUGAUGGUUUUUCUGCAUGGAAGCAGAUUUCUCACUGUGGUUAACAAGAGCUAUGGAAGCUUGUGAGGAAACUGAAGUUGACCAGCCUCUUCAUGCCUUACCUGGCCUUGUUAAUAGAUUGUAGCAUUCCACUUGUUAGUACCAGAGACAGCAGAGAAACUUUUACUGCUAUGCUAUUUGGUAAUGAUAAAGACAGAAAAUCUUUAUUAUGGUAGUUGGGUCCUUGUCUUAGUUAGGGUUUCUAUUCCUGCACAAACAUCAUGACCAAGAAGCAAAGUUCUUAUAGAACUCAAGACUACCAGCCCAGAGAUGGUCCCACCCAAAAGGGGCCUUUCCCCCUUGAUCACUAAUUGAGAAAAUGCCUUACAGUUGGAUCUCAUGGAGGCAUUUCCUCAACUGCAGCUCCUUUCUCUGUGAUAACCCCAGCUGUGUCAAGUUGACACAGAACUAGCCAGUACAGUCCUCUAAACCACUUUUUGUGUUUGGUGAUAAGGAACAGAGUUGGCUGUCAAGCAGCUAUAUGAGCUCAUUAUCUACAAAGCUGAUACUGCCUCUUACAUUCCCUCCUUGUGCCAGGAACGCGUCUGAAGUGAAAGGUUGCAGAGCUGAGGAUGCCGCAGCACUUUGUUUCCUCAUAAGUACCAAUAGGGUUAAACCUUCCUUUCUAGAAUUCAGAACUGCAUGUGAUUUUAAAGCAAACUCAUUUCGUUUUGCUCUGUGUAUUUAAAAGUUCUAUAAGCGAUACAUACUGUAUAUUGCUAUUUGUACAAUGCUCAGUGAUAAAUAGUUGUCUACAAGAAGAGCCAAGACUGAAUUGUGUGUGUGUGUGUGUGUGUGAGAGAGAGAGAGAGAGAGAGAGAGAGAGAGAGAGAGAGAGAAUGCUGAAGAGUGUUCUGAAGAUUGGGACUUAACAAUUAACAACACCAGUGUCUUCCUCAGUUAAUUCUCUGGCUUACUUUUUGAGACAGUCUUACUGAGUCUACAAGCCCUAGGCAGUAAUGUACAGAAUAGUAAGUGCUCAUUUCCCCAGGGAAGAAUUAUGUAUCCUUUAAGAUACACUCACACUGGGGGAAAGUACCCAGAGAUUUAGUUAAAAUAAGUCAUCAAUUUCAUUUUGCUAUUUAUGUAUAGAUGCCCACUAUAUUUGUUCUUUUGCUAGGGCUGUGUAGAUUUUAAGGGUUCAGUAUGUUCCAUUCUUAGUGUUAGUAUUUUUCACUACUGAUAUAUAACAACUUCAGACAUGUGUCAAGUAGAACUGCUACCAAGGAUGGUGAGGAUAUCAUCUUUGAUUAAGUACACAUAAAUGUGCAUAUAAUACAGUAAGACUGUGAGUCCAUAGAGCUUAAAACCAGUGGCUGGGGGGCUGGGGGGGGGGGCGAGAGAUGUAGUGUUUGUAACACACUUUUAUUUAAUGAUUGUAUUUUAAUGAGCUCCAAGAGUUAAAAUUCCUAACACAUGAGAGGAGCAUUUGGAGGGGCUUAUAAUUUCUAGCAUGUAAAAAUAAGUCAUACUGAGUAAGGUGAAAUUUCAAAAUCAUUUGAAGAAACUUAUGAAAGUUUUUCAAAUUGUAAUGUUCCAUGAAUACUUUGUUUCCAGGAAGAACAAGGACUAAACCAAUCAAGUUUUACAGGGUGCUAAGAUCAUUGGUAUCACAUCUUAAGUUAAUCACUUGCUGGGCCUUGUCUGGCCCAGCUCUGUGAUUGUCCCUGUUUCUGUCCUAAUGCUGUACUUGACAUUUAACCCUAGUGCUGCUUCUGAUUGUGUCAGAAACUCAGAAACAUAGUUCAGAACUGUUGAGUUGUCAAUAGCUCUGCUUUAAACUGAGAGUCAUCAGGAUUUUAAACAUGGAGUGAAGCAUUCUGAAGGUAAAUUGAUAUUCUGUCAUCUUUAAGUCACUAGGAGUUUCAUUCCUUUAAAGAUUAUAUGUUACUUCGUGAUGACCUUUCCUUAAGAGAGGAAUUAAAAAACUAUUUCUUUACUUCAAAGUAAGAAAAAAAACCGAGUGUGAUCCAGGGAAAUACUUUAUUGACACUCAAAUUUUAAGAAAUCAACUCUGGAUUCAAACAAAUUGAAUCAACUUUGGAGAAAAAAACUAGUAAAUGGGGAGGGGAAGUAUUCUAAAUAACUUUUCACUACGUGUAUUCUUUAGUAUGUAAAGUCACUAAGAAUGUUGACAUUUAUCAUACAUAGGAAGGAGUCAUUGUUGACAAACAUUGGUUUCAGGUUUUUAUAGUUUAAGAUUAUGUACG